rnacentral:lncRNA from 1 species
GAGGAGGAGGAGUGUUAAAGAGAGGCGGAGCAACUCUGACUGGUGAGGAAAAGGGGGGGGAGGAGGAGGAGGAGGAGGAGGAGAAGGAGAUGAAAGGAGGAGGAGGAGGAGGAGGGCGAAUGGAGGAGGAGGAGAUGAAAGGAGGAGGAGGAGGAGAUGAAAGGAGGAGGAGGAGUGUUAAAGGAUGGUGGUCGGCUCUUUCAUCUCGAACUCCAUCACGUCUCUCUUCCAUCGUUGCGUUCUGUCUGACUGCGGCUGCAGGAAACUCCGCCCCCUCUGUGGUCUCCUCCACCCGCCCCUCCCUCUGAUUCACUUCCUGUCUGACAGAGGGUGUAGAGUCACAUGACCUCUGCUCUGUGAUCAGGAGAGUCCAAAACCGCUCUCACCGCCAUCGUCUGCUUUUGUGCUGAUCGGUUCCCUUAUUGAUCCUCCGACUCUGAAACAACGAGGUGAUCAAUCGUUAGAGGGAGUCGGUGUAACGGACGACCAAGAGAGUCCUCAGGGUGGUCCAGAACCAGCUCGGUACUGUGAGGGUCAUAGAAGUGUUAAAAACUGCAGUACCAUCAGUGUCCACUAGAGGCUGGCUGUAGAAACACUGAAGACCACAUACACACCCAUGUUAGAGCUGUGCAUUGUGGGUAAGAGUGUGUUAGGGAGUUUGGUCAGCUGACAUGCUGCGUCCUUCAUCAUGACCAUAUUAGGACUUCCUGAUAGGAUGGUGGGCGGUUCCCAACUGAGUCCACGUUCAAAGACGGCUGAAGACCCGGUUCUUUAGAGGACCGGUCUGUAAUGAGUCCUCCAGAUCCAGCUGACUCUGUCCUGAUCUACUCUGAAUACUCAGUGCUGGAGGGACCCGGUACUUUGGUACUCUGGUACUUUGGUACUUUGGUACUCUGGUACUUUGGUACUUUGGUACCUUUGGUACCUCUGGUACUUUGGUACUCUGGUACUUUUGUACUCUGGUACUCUGGUACUCUGGUACUCUGGUACUUUGGUACUCUGGUACUUUGGUACUUUGGUACUCUGGUACUUUGGUACUUUGGUACUUUGGUACUUUGGUACUUUGGUACUCUGGUACUUUGGUACUUUGGUACUCUGGUACUUUGGUACUUUGGUACUCUGGUACUUUGGUACUCUGGUACUUUGGUACUUUGGUACUCUGGUACUUUGGUACUUUGGUACCUUUGUGGUGAAGAGAAGUUCACCGAUGAUGAAACCAUCUGAACUUGAUUCUUUGUUGACGAUCACUGUCGGUCAUUUCCUGUAACACUUCAGCGUGGCGGAACCUGAGUCCAAAUGGACCUGAUGGACUCCAUCUGUGUGUGUGAGAGAGAGAGAGAGAGAGAGAGUGUGUGUGUGUGUGUGUGUGUGUGUGUGUGUGUGUGUGUGUGUGUGUGUGUGUGUGUGUUCACCAGCAGCAGUCAUGAUAUCAGACGGUCUGUCAGCCUGAAUCACUUCAGUGCUCCUCAUGUACCGACUGGACCUGCUGCCAUCAUCGGUCACUCUCACACACACUCACACACACACACACACACACACACACACACACACACACACACUCUCACUCUCACACACUCACACACUCACACACACACACACUAGCUAAAUGUCAACAGAGGAGUGAAUUUCCUGCGAACACGUCUGCAUCAGUCUUUCCAAACAAACGCCGUUCUUCAUCUUCAUCAUCAUCUUCAUCUGUGAAAAACCCAGAUGUGACCACAGACGAGUUUUGAUUAGAGGUGUAGGAGUCACUGCUUUUAUUCAAUAAUGAGGAAAAUGAACGAUGAGAGGAUGAAUGAACGAUGAGAGGAUGAAUGAGAGGAUGAAUGAGAGGAUGAAUGAACGAUGAGAGGAUGAAUGAACGAUGAGAGGAUGAAUGAUGAAUGAGAGGAUGAAUGAGAGGAUGAAUGAACGAUGAGAGGAUGAAUGAGAGGAUGAAUGAUGAAUGAGAGGAUGAAUGAGAGGAUGAAUGAACGAUGAGAGGAGCAGAAAAGUCUGAAGGUCUGAGGGGACCACAGAGACCUGGACUUCAUUCAGAGUUCCUCUUCAGUCUCAGUCCUCAGAUAAAGUCUGAUUAUGAGAGGUCAUGUGGAGAUCAUGUGGAGGUCAUGUCAGGGUCAUGUCGGGGUCAUGUCAGAUCAAUGUUUCUAACCCCCCCCCCUCAUGUUUAUAGUCCUCAGGUAUCUAAACUUCCUGUCUGUGAUGUGUGCUGACUCUGCAGACUCUGCUGGUUUCUCCACAGACUCGGACGUCCUGCUGAUCCCUCCUCCUGCUCCUCCUGGUCCUCCUGCUCUCACUCGGAUGUUUCUGUAAAAAGAGGAGGUCCGUUUGUUUGUUUUGGACCGGAGCAGCAGCUGUUACAGAGCGACAUCGAGCCUCGGCGCUCGGUGACCAGCUGGACGCCACGCCGCAGGAAUCCCAAACGAGCCGGAGAGACGGAGAGGAAGCAGCAGAUGUUCUCCAUGAUGAGUCUCCUCUGUCUGCCCUCAGGCUCGCUCGCUCGCUCUCGCUCUCUCUCUCUCUCUCUCUAAUUAAAGCUACAUUUCUUUAAUUUAAUCAUCUUAAAAUUUCUUUAAUUUAAAUAAAUUUAUAUCAAAUUAAUUUAAAUCAACUUUAAUUUCUUUCAUUGAUAAAAAAAUCCUGAGAUUUCAAACACGAACACAAAGACAGUUUUACAGCUGACCUCUGACCUCUGACCUCUGCAGGGAGGCGUGUGAAUGUGUCCGACCCACAAAGAGGAGGCGGAGCUUUACUGUCCACACGCACAGACCGCCAAAGUGAAUUAUGGGUAAAAAGUAACUGCAGUGAGAAGUUUUUUUGACUGAAAGAUAAAAAGUCAGUUUGACUCUGGACCAGGAGAAGCUCAGGUUCACUCACGCGGUCUCUCACAGAGACCUGAACCUCUGAGAGGCUCCGCCCCCUUUUACACACGCUCAUCCCGUCCUGGUUCUGGUCUGGACGGUCCUGCAGGGUCUCCGGAACAACCCCAGUACACACACAAACACACACACACACACACACACACUCCCCUGUCCUCGUUCGUCCCUCCUCUCUCAGCACGUGCCUCGGCAUCACGCGCUCGCGCAGCCUCUGAUCGGUUUGGAUCGAUUUUCUGCCUCUGAUCGGUU